rnacentral:lncRNA from 1 species
UAAAUAAAUCAUCACUUCAACUGUAUUAAACUGAUUAGUUGAUUUGAGUUUAACGCCACUUUCACCAAUAUUGUGCUAUUUCGUAGCGGAUCCAGAAGUUUUUAUAAGGGUGGGCACUGACAAAAAAGGGGCCUCUAGUAUGAGUCAGUGAUUCCCUCUUUAAGCAACCAAAUUUGUACACAAAAGGGGGCCUACCCUAGAUCCGCCUAUGUACCGUCAUUUUGUUUUUGUGUGGAGAUAACCGGAGUACUCGAAGAGAAGCACAGACCUUCGGUAUUUACACCGACAAUCUAGGUUAAAAUUGGAGUAGGGUAGACCUGUAUUAUAAAAAAUCAUUAUACAUUGAACAAAUCGUGAAAUUAAUUGGGGGCCGACCAUUUAUGAUGGUGUUUCUUCAGGGUUUUUUUAUGGGGA